rnacentral:rRNA from 1 species
GACGAACGCUGGCGGCGUGCUUAACACAUGCAAGUCGAGCGGAGCGGCGAACGGGUGAGUAACGCGUGAGUAACUGCCCCCCUGUCUUGGAUAACAGUUGGCAACGGCUGCUCAUACCGGAUAGUGGGGGAUGACUCGCGUCCUAUCAGAUUGUUGGUGGGGUAGUGGCAUACCAAAGCGACGACGGGUGGCCGGCCUGAGAGGGCGACCGGCCACAGUGGUUUGUGAUACGGCCCAAACUCCUACGGGAGGCAGCAGUGGGGAAUAUUGCACAAUGGGGGAAACCCUGAUUCAGCAACGCCGCGUGCGGGAGGACGGCCUUCGGGUUGUAAACCGCUUUCAGCCAUGACGCGGUAGUGGCAGAAGAAGCACCGGCUAACUACGUGCCAGCAGCCGCGGUAAUUC